UACGUAGGUGGCAAGCGUUAUCCGGAUUUAUUGGGCGUAAAGGGAACGCAGGCGGUCUUUUAAGUCUGAUGUGAAAGCCUUCGGCUUAACCGGAGUAGUGCAUUGGAAACUGGGAGACUUGAGUGCAGAAGAGGAGAGUGGAACUCCAUGUGUAGCGGUGAAAUGCGUAGAUAUAUGGAAGAACACCAGUGGCGAAAGCGGCUCUCUGGUCUGUAACUGGCGCUGAGGUUCGAAAGCGUGGGUAGCAAACAGG
rnacentral:rRNA from 1 species